AUGUCUCUGCGGAGCCUCGCACUGUGUCACCCCACCGCCCUAGCGGACGCUCAGCCAGGAGGCCAGGGACGCGCUGGCGCCACAGCUGGCCAAGUGUUGCUUGCCUGCCUUGAACAUAAUAGGACUUCACUCCUUGGACAGUGUUCCACCUCCUACUUGGGCCACAAGUUUAGCUUGACUUUUCACCAAGUUAAGGCCCAGAAGUGAAGUUUGACUCCAUCAAGGAAAAGUGGUAAGUGAUCCUACAUGG
rnacentral:lncRNA from 1 species